rnacentral:rRNA from 1 species
GACGAACGCUGGCGGCGUGCUUAACACAUGCAAGUCGAACGGUGAAGCGCCUUCCUUUUUGGUGGGUGUGGAUGAGUGGCGAACGGGUGAGUAACACGUGAGUAACCUGCCCCCUUCUUCUGGAUAACCGCGUGAAAGUGUGGCUAAUACGGGAUAUUCUGGGUCUGUCGCAUGAUGGGUCUGGGAAAGAUAUUGUUUCGGUGGGGGAUGGGCUCGCGGCCUAUCAGCUUGUUGGUGGGGUGAUGGCCUACCAAGGCGGUGACGGGUAGCCGGCCUGAGAGGGUGGACGGUCACACUGGGACUGAGACACGGCCCAGACUCCUACGGGAGGCAGCAGUGGGGAAUAUUGCACAAUGGGCGCAAGCCUGAUGCAGCGACGCCGCGUGAGGGAUGGAGGCCUUCGGGUUGUGAACCUCUUUCGCCAGUGAAGCAGGCCUGCCUCGUUUGUGGGUGGGUUGACGGUAGCUGGAUAAGAAGCGCCGGCCAACUACGU